UUCAUGAUUCAGACCUUGGUGAGUGGCGGACGGGUGAGUAACACGUGGGUAACCUGCCCAGAAGUGGGGGAGUAACAUUUGGAAACAAGUGCUAAUACCGCAUAACAACUUAGAUCACAUGAUCUUUGUUUUAAAAGAAUUGUUUUGUCUAUCUCUUCUGGAUGGACCCGCGGCGGUAUUAGCUAGUUGGUGAGGUAAUAGCUCACCAAGGCGAUGAUACGUAGCCCGACCUGAGAGGGUAAUCGGCCACAUUGGGACUGAGACACGGCCCAAACUCC
rnacentral:rRNA from 1 species